UACAGAGGGUGCAAGCGUUGUUCGGAAUUAUUGGGCAUAAAGGGAGCGUAGGCGGAUUUUUAAGUCUGAACUUAAAGACUAGGGCUCAACCCUGGGAGUGGUUCGGAUACUGGAAGUCUUGAGGAUGGAAGAGGAAAGUGGAAUUCCCAGUGUAGCGGUGAAAUGCGUAGAUAUUGGGAGGAACACCAGUGGCGAAAGCGGCUUUCUGGUCCAUUACUGACGCUGAGGCUCGAAAGCUCGGGGAGCAAACAGG
rnacentral:rRNA from 1 species